CGUGCAGGCGGUUCGGUAAGUUGGAUGUGAAAGCUCCCGGCUCAACUGGGAGAUGCCGUUCAAUACUGCCGGACUAGAGGACGGUAGAGGAAGGUAGAAUUCCCGGUGUAGUGGUGAAAUGCGUAGAUAUCGGGAGGAAUACCAGUGGCGAAGGCGGCCUUCUGGGCCGUUCCUGACGCUAAGACGCAAAAGCAUGGGUAGCGAACG
rnacentral:rRNA from 1 species